UACGUAGGCAGCGAGCGUUGUUCGGAAUUAUUGGGCGUAAAGAGUGUGUAGGCGGUGCUCCAAGUCUGUUGUGAAAUCUCCCGGCUUAACUGGGAGGGUGCGGCGGAAACUGGGGUGCUAGAGGAUGGGAGAGGUAAGCGGAAUUCCUGGUGUAGCGGUGAAAUGCGUAGAUAUCAGAAGGAACAUCAGUGGCGAAAGCGGCUUCCUGGUCCAGCACCGACGUUCAGGCACGAAAGCGUGGGGAGCAAACAGG
rnacentral:rRNA from 1 species